rnacentral:lncRNA from 1 species
CCGACAAUUGUGGCAUGGCCGUUCACACUGUUGAUCAGCAAAACGACAAAUCACUUAAUAUGCCAUCAUCAGAGAGAAAAGGUAUCAAAGAUCAAGAGGUUUGUUAUUUGUAAUAAAAAAGAGAGAAAAAGGUUGAGGAUUUUUUCUUUCAGCUUGUGGUUCCUGCCAAUAAGUAUUGAUGCUUUUCAAUGAAUUAGAGGCAUUCCUUUUAUCAUGCCACUCAUGUUUUACUCAUUUUAUAGUCGUCAUCUUCCAUUAAUAUAUAAUUUUCAGCUUGAAAACUGAUGAUAGCUACCUGAAUCUGUAAUUGUUAAGAAUGGGCAACAAAUCAUUCCCCUUCAAAAACAAACCAAAUCAACAAAAGUUCGCUCAAAUUACGAUAGAAGCUGAACUAUAAGUUCCGAAACUACAAACGACAUGUCAUCCCAAACAUAACGUUAGUACGACAAUUUCUCUAUUCGAUGAAACUACAGAUGACAUGUCAUAGGAAUGCUCUGAAUUUCAUUUUGUAUGAAUUCAUCGUUCUCUACUUUUGACUACAUCAUACCCACGUCGAGCAUGCCCUCAGUCCCAAAACAUACUUGAUGAUAUUCAUAAUACAAAUAAAAAGCAAUUAGAAGUACCAUCUAAUUAACACACGAAGUCUGGUUCAUGCAUGCACGAUAUAAAACUAAAUAUCUGAUCCAUCCGCAGAAAUGAUAAGAGAGACUACAGUAAGCUCAAUUAAUUGAAUGAUUUCAUAUCCAAUAACAAUAUUACCAACAUUUGAUGAUAAUAUAUUUAUUAACCAUCAUCGCUUGUCUUGGUGAUACAGAAACAACUGUAAAGCCAACGAGCAAUCCAGACGCCAUAAUAGCAAAAACAAUCAGCAAGCGCUUUGUCACCCCAAUCCGCCCUUGUAUUGUUGCUGACCUUGAGCAGCUCCUCCAGCUCCAAUCCAAUCUUAUUAUUAUUAUUAUUAUUCCUGAGCCUCUGUCUGGAUCUUCGCUAGCCCUCAGAAUUACAUUAUACAAGAUACUAAAGAUAUGUUAAUCAGGUUAAUUACAUUCUGCAGGGAAGAAACUAGGUUACAUGUUUAUAUUCAUAAGAUCUUUAGUUAGCUAAUGGUUG